rnacentral:rRNA from 1 species
UGGGGAACAUUGCACAAUGGGGGAAACCCUGAUGCAGCGACGCCGCGUGAACGAAGAAGGUAUUCGUAUCGUAAAGUUCUGUCCUAUGGGAAGAUAAUGACAGUACCAUAGAAGAAAGCUCCGGCUAAAUACGUGCCAGCAGCCGCGGUAAUACGUAUGGAGCGAGCGUUGUCCGGAAUUAUUGGGCGUAAAGGGUACGCAGGCGGUUUAAUAAGUCGAAUGUUAAAGAUCGGGGCUCAACCCCGCAAAGCAUUGGAAACUGAUAAACUUGAGUAGUGGAGAGGAAAGUGGAAUUCCUAGUGUAGUAGUGAAAUACGUAGAUAUUAGGAGGAAUAACAGUAGCGAAAGCGACUUUCUGGACACAAACUGACGCUGAGGUACGAAAGCGUGGGGAGCAAACAGG